CAGAGACAGGAAGUCGCCUCGAGCCCCCAACCUUUCCCCCUUCCUCUUCCAAAACACGCUACCUCAACACGCAACCUCUGGUCAUUCCCAUUCCUGGCCAUCGGGAGGAGGCAGCAGAGCAGCGGUCAGCGGCUAGGAAGGUAGGGCGCAAGAGAAGGAGAAGGUGGGGCGUAGGAGAAGCAGGAGGGGACACGGCUGCAAGCACGCCACCAGCCAUGUAUCUCGACUUCUCGAGGGAAGAUUGGGUGGGAGGAGAAGGCGGCGGCGACGGUUUCGAUUUGUGAUCUGCUACAGGCGCCGCCACAGGGAUGGAUGCCAGGAUCUGAGGUGAGUCUGAUCCCUCAACCCCUUCCCAUUCCUUCCCGGCCUUGUCUCAGCACACACGGGGGAGGCGCCGCGGGACAAACAAGGCUCUUGCAGGUUGCAGCGCGUGACGGUGAUGGGAGCGGCAAGAAAAGGAAGAGCAGCGGCGGCGCAUCUCUGUCUCGUGGGGCCAGCCCUCCCGUCCGCGCGUGCGACAACGCCGAUAUGGAGUCCCAGGCUCGGAUAGCCACCAUGACGUUGGGUGCCCCGGCGGGGGCUAUGGGGACCAUGCGGCGUCCGGCCAUGAUUCCGGCGACGGCAAGCCGUAUAUAUGAGCCAUCGUCUCCACUUCCUUUCCUUCAUGUUUUAAUCUGCACCUCUACCCCACUCCCCACUGCCUACCUCCCUCUCUCACGUAAGCUCGAGCUCGGGGCGGUGAAAUCCCUCUUAGGUGGCAGAAGCUGACUGUCUUGACAUCUUCAGAGAUUCUAUGUGUCCAGUUGUGGUUGUGCACACCAAUCGUUUGAUGAAUUGCUAAAAGAAAUUGUACGUUUUUUUAUGUAUGUUGGAAUCAGGGAGCAGGAACCGACGUCGUCGUCUGGGAGGCAGCCAAGGAUGGAGGUCACUCUUAGUUCAUCUUCCUCUUUGCUCCGUCUCCUGAUGGCUGUCAUGGAGGUUGCUAUUAAGUGAGCAGGUAGUUUGUCAUUGUUCGUGAAUCAUCUGUUUAGUCUUUCUCUUCACUUAAUCGAUGUUCAGCUUUAUAAUAAGUAAACUAUGGUAUGGUGAGUACCUCUCAAUACUCGAUGGCUUCCCUUAUUUAGACUGUUGAUUUAUUUUCGAAUAAUAGGCCCCUGUUCCAGUUCAAAAGGGAAUCAUGUAGCAGCAGCAAUUAAUAUGCUUUUCAGUUUUAUUAUAAGUAAAUUUCAAAAUAAAUGUGUCAUAACAUAAGUAUUGAGUCUAUGAUUGUAUAUAUGUAUCGAACCUUAAUGAACUGGUUUGGUUGAUAUUAUUUUAAAUUUAGUUUCAGAUACUACCGAAUUUCUGAUUUUCGGUUACAUAUAAUUAUGAUAUAUGUUGCAUCAUCUUUGUGUUCAGACUUCAGAUAUGUCAGCAAGCCACUUUCGAGCCUUGCUCAUUUACAUCAGUAUUUGUUUUCACAUUAGUGCACCAUGGUCUUUUUGUCUUUCAUUUCUACCUAAAGAGCAACAAUCAGACUUUCUAUGAGAACUUCAGGUAUCAGUGCGACAAACGGGCUAACCCAUAUAACAUGAUUGCUUGGAGCUGACAUAGAGGGUGGCGAGAUGCAGAGGAGCCCGAGGUACAGGUGAAGGGAGACGCUGGGUGUCAGGUCGAGCAACUAUGGUUGGGGUGGCUGUGUGAAGAAGAGAGAGGUAGGAAAGGAAGUGUUGGGCUAACUGAUGCUACCGGGAUGAAUCAGGGAGAUUAGAGGAGAGAAGUUGAGAGAGAUUUCGGCGAUGUUCAGGAGAAGAGGAUUUCUCUAGCUAUGCCAACCCAAGAUGUGUGAUGCUCAAGAAGGUAUGUGAUGCUAACGCAUAUACAAAGAACGAGGUGUCUUGUUAAUUUGGUGGACAGUGCCCUUCUUAAAAUAAAUAUGUGGUGCCGUAGACAACUGAAGAAUUAUCACUUAUAGUUCCGUUAGGUUUGUUACCUCCGUUGUUCGGACACUUAAAUGUUUCACUGAGGAUUUUUUAAUCCAUCCGGCCAUCAGCUUAUACCUGGAUGUACCUUCAUGUUCUACAAAUCUAUUAAUUUAUCAUAGGACAAGCAGACGAUGGAAGUAGUAUAGUUUCUUGAAUUAUUACUAUGGUCCGCCAAAUUUUUUAAUUACUGAAUCAGCAUAAGUUUUAUGUUUCUCUGUUGUAAUUCUUCUGUAGGCUGUUUUCUGUGUCUCUGCAAGUGCCUUUUUGCUCAGAUGCUUUUUUUACAGUGCAUCAAGUGGAGUUUAGUUCAUUCACCUCUCCACAUCUCCUCAAUUUCAUGAUUGUUCAGAUUGCUAACCGACGGACUAGAAGCAUGCCCACCUUUCUGUUCCUUUUAGUUCCAAAUAAUCUUUUUUUUCGAAUGAAUGCAUGCUUAUAGUAUUGAAAUAUAUUUUUUCUAUACUUGGUAGAUCAUAAACCGCCAAAUUACGCUGCUACUGGUGUGUUUACUGCUCCAUAAUUGAGUCAGUUUUGUGUGCAUUAUCUGAACAAUGUCAACGCUGCCUUCCUUCUGACAUACUAUUUUGGCUGUUGAUCGAUGUUGCGGCUGCUGCGGCUGGUGGUGCUCUGGGCACGCAAGGGGAGCGCGGCACACAAACUCCGCCUGCUCAAGACGUUGCGCCACAACCAUGCCGGCCUCGGUGUCAGGCGCAACGAUUGGUUUGCACUAUGGCGAACUAGAAUUCCCCAGCGCACACUUGCUCCAGUUUAUCCUCUACGGCAAUGGUCACUACUUCUGCGAUGCCCGUGAGAGGGAUGUGGACUGCAUCGAGGACUACUACGAUGGCGAGCAAAACGAGCACGGCCUGGAGAACCUCGAUGAUGGGCAGAUGAGCAGUUGCUCUAUAGUGGCAGGUCCUCGUGGCUGCAGUACAAUGACAUGAGAUGUGCUAGAUACAGUGCUAAGAUUGCAUGUUUAUUUGUCGAUCUUGAUACCCUUUUGGACAAGCCACAGUAUGUGGAAUGCAUCUUGUAAGCAGCACUACUACUUUCCUUGGUUUAUACUUUCAGCUCUAAGACUUGGUUGUCAUUCAUUCAAAAAAUUCUAAGCUA